rnacentral:rRNA from 1 species
GGUGAACGCUGGCGGUAGGCCUAACACAUGCAAGUCGAACGGCAGCACAGGAGAGCUUGCUCUCUGGGUGGCGAGUGGCGGACGGGUGAGGAAUACAUCGGAAUCUACUCUGUCGUGGGGGAUAACGUAGGGAAACUUACGCUAAUACCGCAUACGACCUACGGGUGAAAGCAGGGGAUCUUCGGACCUUGCGCGAUUGAAUGAGCCGAUGUCGGAUUAGCUAGUUGGCGGGGUAAAGGCCCACCAAGGCGACGAUCCGUAGCUGGUCUGAGAGGAUGAUCAGCCACACUGGAACUGAGCCACGGUCCAGACUCCUACGGGAGGCAGCAGUGGGGAAUAUUGGACAAUGGGCGCAAGCCUGAUCCAGCCAUACCGCGUGGGUGAAGAAGGCCUUCGGGUUGUAAAGCCCUCUUGUUGGGAAAGAAAUCCAGCUGGCUAAUACCCGGUUGGGAUGACGGUACCCAAAGAAUAAGCACCGGCUAACUUCGUGCCAGCAGCCGCCGUAA